AGUGAACGCUGGCGGUAGGCCUAACACAUGCAAGUCGAACGGCAGCACAGUAAGAGCUUGCUCUUACGGGUGGCGAGUGGCGGACGGGUGAGGAAUACAUCGGAAUCUACUUUUUCGUGGGGGAUAACGUAGGGAAACUUACGCUACUACCGCAUACGACCUACGGGUGAAAGCAGGGGAUCUUCGGACCUUGCGCGAUUGAAUGAGCCGAUGUCGGAUUAGCUAGUUGGCGGGGUAAAGGCCCACCAAGGCGACGAUCCGUAGCUGGUCUGAGAGGAUGAUCAGCCACACUGGAACGGAGACACGGUCCAGACUCCUACGGGAGGCAGCAGUGGGGAAUAUUGGACAAUGGGCGCAAGCCUGAUCCAGCCAUACCGCGUGGGUGAAGAAGGCCUUCGGGUUGUAAAGCCCUUUUGUUGGGAAAGAAAAGCAGCAGGUUAAUACCCCGCUGUUCUGACGGUACCCAAAGAAUAAGCACCGGCUAACUUCGUG
rnacentral:rRNA from 1 species